rnacentral:rRNA from 1 species
GCUUGUCUCAAAGAUUAAGCCAUGCACGUCUGAGAAUAAAGAGUUUUCUCUGAAUCUGCGAAUGGCUCAUUAUAUCAGUUAUAGUUUAUUUGAUAGUCCUUUACUACUUGGAUAACCGUAGUAAUUCUAGAGCUAAUACAUGCACCCGUGCCCGACUUUGUGGAAGGGUUGUGUUUAUUAGUUACAGAACCAGCCCAGGCUCUGCCUGGUCUUGUGGUGAUUCAUAAUAACCGAACGAAUCGUAUGGCAUCAGCUGGCGAUGAAUCAUUCAAGUUUCUGACCUAUCAGCUUCCGACGGUAGGGUAUUGGCCUACCGUGGCAAUGACGGGUAACGGAGAAUUAGGGUUCGAUUCCGGAGAGGGAGCCUGAGAAACGGCUACCACAUCUAAGGAAGGCAGCAGG